rnacentral:rRNA from 1 species
GUGGGGAAUAUUGCGCAAUGGGCGAAAGCCUGACGCAGCGACGCCGCGUGAGGGAUGAAGGUUUUCGGAUCGUAAACCUCUGUCAGAAGGGAAGAAACUACAUUGUGCUAAUCAGCAGUGUACUGACGGUACCUUCAAAGGAAGCACCGGCUAACUCCGUGCCAGCAGCCGCGGUAAUACGGAGGGUGCAAGCGUUAAUCGGAAUUACUGGGCGUAAAGCGCACGUAGGCUGUAGUGUAAGUCAGGGGUGAAACCCACGGCUCAACCGUGGAACUGCCUUUGAUACGGCACAACUUGAAUCCGGGGGAGGGUGGCGGAAUUCCAGGUGUAGGAGGGAAAUCCGUAGAUAUCGGGGGGAACAUCAGUGGCGAAGGCGGCCACCUGGACCGGUAUUGACGCUGAGGUGCGAAAGCGUGGGAGCAAACAGGAUUAGAAACCCGUGUAGUCC